ensembl:lncRNA
CCUGCUCUGUGCUGCUUCACUGUGCCAGGGAAAACUGCCUUUGGCAUCCUGCUCUGUGCUGUGCUGGUGCUGCUCCUGCUGUGCCAUAGGAAACUGGCUCUGGCAGCCUGCUCUGUGCUGCCAGGGUUUGUGCCAGUUCUCCUCCUGCUGCUCCUACCACGCCAGGGAAAACUGGCUCUGAUAUCCUGCUCUGUGCUGUGCCAGGGAAAACUGGCUCUGAUAUCCUGCUCUGUGCUGUGCUGGUGCUGCUCCUGCUGUGCUGGGGGAAUUCAGCUCUGGCUCUGUGCUGGUGAUCUGCACCACGCCAGUGUUCUGUGCCUGUUCUCUGUGCUGGUGCUGCUCCCGCUGUGCCAGAGGAAUCCGGCUCUGGCUCCUGCCCUGUGCUGUGCCAGUGCUCUGUGCUGUGCUGCUCCUGCUGUGCCAGGGAAAACCCCUCUGGCAUCCUGCUCUGUGCUGGUGCUGCUCCUGCUGCGCUGGUGCUGCUCCUGCUGCUCAGACUCUGCUGGGGGAAUCGGGUUCUGGUGCUGUCCUGGUGAUCUGCACCACGCUGCUGUUCCUUGCCACUGCUCCGUGCCAGUGCUGCUCCUGCUGGGCAGGCAGAUCUGCCUCUGGCAUCCUGCUGGUGUUCUGUGCUGGUGCUGCUCCUGCUGGUGUUCUGUGCUGGUUCUGCUCCUGCUGGGCAGGCACAUCUGUCUCUGGCAUCCUGCUGGUGUUCUGUGCUGCUGCUGCUCCCGCUGUGCCGUGGGAAGCUGCCUCUGGCAUCCUGCUCCGUGCUGCUCAGUGCCGGUGUUCUGUGCCAGUGCUGCUCCUGCUGCUUCUGGUGUGCUGGGGAAAACUGGCUCUGUCAUCCUGCUCUGUGCUGCUGCUGUGCUGUGGGAAUGCAGCUCUGGCAUCCUGCUCUGUGCUGCUGCUGCUGCUGUGCUGUGGGAAUGCAGCUCUGGCAUCCUGCUCUGUGCUGCUGCUGCUGCUGUGCUGUGCUGUGGGAAUGCAGCUCUGGCAUCCUGCUCUGUGCUGCUGCUGCUGCUGCUGUGCUGUGGGAAUGCAGCUCUGGCAUCCUGCUCUGUGCUGCUGCUGCUCAGGCUGCACUGGGGAAAUCCAGCUCUGUGCUGUCCUGGUGAUCUGCACCAGGCUGGUGCUCCAUGCUGCUGCUGCUGCUGCUGCUCCUGCUGUGCUGCUGCUGCUCCUGCUGUGCCGUGGGAAGCUGCCUCUGGCCUCCUGCUUCGUGCUGAUGUUCCAGUCCCUGCUGGAGCUCUGUGUGCUACCACCUGCCCUGCACUGCUCAUGCCUCAUGGCGUCGCUCCAGCUGCUGCAUCCCAGCAGGAUUUUAUCCACACUCAGCCAGCUCGGGCUGCAUUCCUGGCCCAGCUGCUGCAUCCCCAGCUGUGCUGCUGCAUCCCCAGCUGUGCUGCUGCAUCCCCAGUCUGUGCUGCUGCAUCCCCAGCUGUGCCAAUGUUCCAAGCUGACACAUCAAUAAAGCAGCCGGUCCCACUGCAGGGCUCUGCACAAACUGCUCGUGAUUCCUUGCUCCGGUGUAAGGAGGGAUUCAGGGGACACCUCAGAGCUGCAGAUUCCCAAUCCCUCCGGAGCACACCUGCCCCAGACAUCCCAGCACAUCCCAGCCCCUCCCUCAGUGCAGCCCUCCCACAAAUCCAUGGAUUUUACAGGAUCUCACACAGCUGCUCUGACCCUGGAAUUCCCUGCCCUUGGUGA